rnacentral:rRNA from 1 species
GACGAACGCUGGCGGCGUGCCUAAUACAUGCAAGUAGAACGCUGAAGAGAGGAGCUUGCUCUUCUUGGAUGAGUUGCGAACGGGUGAGUAACGCGUAGGUAACCUGCCUUGUAGCGGGGGAUAACUAUUGGAAACGAUAGCUAAUACCGCAUAACAAUGGAUGACACAUGUCAUUUAUUUGAAGGGGGCAAUUGCUCCACUACAAGAUGGACCUGCGUUGUAUUAGCUAGUAGGUGAGGUAACGGCUCACCUAGGCGACGAUACAUAGCCGACCUGAGAGGGUGAUCGGCCACACUGGGACUGAGACACGGCCCAGACUCCUACGGGAGGCAGCAGUAGGGAAUCUUCGGCAAUGGGGGCAACCCUGACCGAGCAACGCCGCGUGAGUGAAGAAGGUUCUCGGAUCGUAAAGCUCUGUUGUAAGUCAAGAACGAGUGUGAGAGUGGAAAGUUCACACUGUGACGGUAGCUUACCAGAAAGGGACGGCUAACUACGUG